ensembl:snoRNA
GUCCAAGAGUAAAGAAAGCUUUCCUAGUAGCAACUUGGAAUAAAAUCUGUGCUUGAGGUUGAGGGAGAGGGGAUGGCUCUUUUCCUUUGCCUUCCUUUGGCUGCCUACACAC